AUUGAACGCUGGCGGCAUGCUUUACACAUGCAAGUCGAACGGCAGCGCGGGGCAACCUGGCGGCGAGUGGCGAACGGGUGAGUAAUAUAUCGGAACGUACCCAAGAGUGGGGGAUAACGUAGCGAAAGUUACGCUAAUACCGCAUACGAUCUAAGGAUGAAAGCAGGGGACCGCAAGGCCUUGUGCUCCUGGAGCGGCCGAUAUCUGAUUAGCUAGUUGGUGAGGUAAAGGCUCACCAAGGCGACGAUCAGUAGCUGGUCUGAGAGGACGACCAGCCACACUGGAACUGAGACACGGUCCAGACUCCUACGGGAGGCAGCAGUGGGGAAUUUUGGACAAUGGGCGCAAGCCUGAUCCAGCAAUGCCGCGUGAGUGAAGAAGGCCU
rnacentral:rRNA from 1 species